rnacentral:miRNA from 1 species
CGGUAUGUCCAGUUACAUUUGAAUUUUAGGCAAACAAUGAAUUUUUGUUUAGUAUAAGUAUUUCACAUGCAAUUUUGGGACAUACUUAUACUAAAAAUAAUUAGUUGUUCUUUACCUGAAAUUCAAAUUUAACUGGGUGUCUUGU